rnacentral:rRNA from 1 species
CCUACGGGAGGCAGCAGUGAGGAAUAUUGGUCAAUGGGCGCUAGCCUGAACCAGCCAAGUAGCGUGAAGGAUGACUGUGCUAUGGGUUGUAAACUUCUUUUAUCUGGGAAUAAAGUGCAGUAUGUAUACUGCUUUGCAUGUACCUUAUGAAUAAGGAUCGGCUAACUCCGUGCCAGCAGCCGCGGUAAUACGGAGGAUCCGAGCGUUAUCCGGAUUUAUUGGGUUUAAAGGGUGCGUAGGCGGGUUGUUAAGUCAGUUGUGAAAGGUUGCGGCUCAACCGUAAAAUUGCAGUUGAUACUGGCAGCCGUGAGUAGAGGAGAGGUAGGCGGAAUUCGUGGUGUAGCGGUGAAAUGCUUAGAUAUCGCGAAGAACUCCGAUUGCGAAGGCAGCCUGCUGGACUGUAACUGACGCUGAUGCUCGAAAGUGUGGGUAUCAAACAGGAUUAGAUACCCUUGUAGUC